CGUGCCGUAGCGCAGUCGGUUGUCGCGCCGCCUUUGCAAGGCGGAAGAGGCCGGUUCGAAUCCGGCCGGUGCGCCCC
rnacentral:tRNA from 1 species